rnacentral:rRNA from 1 species
AUUGAACGCUGGCGGCAUGCUUUACACAUGCAAGUCGAACGGUAACAGGUUAAGCUGACGAGUGGCGAACGGGUGAGUAAUGCAUCGGAACGUGCCCGGUCGUGGGGGAUAACGCAGCGAAAGCUGCGCUAAUACCGCAUACGAUCUGAGGAUGAAAGCGGGGGGCCGUAAGGCCUCGCGCGAUCGGAGCGGCCGAUGUCAGAUUAGGUAGUUGGUGGGGUAAAGGCUCACCAAGCCGACGAUCUGUAGCUGGUCUGAGGGGACGACCAGCCACACUGGGACUGAGACACGGCCCAGACUCCUACGGGAGGCAGCAGUGGGGAAUUUUGGACAAUGGGCGCAAGCCUGAUCCAGCAAUGCCGCGUGCAGGAAGAAGGCCUUCGGGUUGUAAACUGCUUUUGUACGGAGCGAAAAGGCUCUCUCUAAUACGGAGGGCUCAUGACGGUACCGUAAGAAUAAGCACCGGCUAACUACGUGCCAGCAGCCGCCGUAA